GAGCGGAACGGCCUUCGUGGUACCGAGCGGCGAACGGGUGAGUACACGUGAGCAAUCUGCCCUUAGCUUCGGGAUAGCUCCGGGAAACCGGAAUUAAUACCGGAUAUGACCACUGUCGACAUCAUCCAUGGUGGAAAGUUUUUCGGCUAGGGAUGAGCUCGCGGCCUAUCAGCUAGUUGGUGGGGUAACGGCCUACCAAGGCGACGACGGGUAGCCGGCCUGAGAGGGCGACCGGCCUCUCUGGGACUGAGACACGGCCCAUACUCCUACGGGAGGCAUCAGUGGGGAAUAUUGCGCAAUGGGCGAAAGCCUGACGCAGCGACGCCGCGUGGGGGAUGAAGGCCUUCGGGUUGUAAACCCCUUUCAGCAUGGACGAUUCGAAUGUGACGGUACCUGCAUAAGACUCGCCGGCUAACUACGUGCCAGCAGCCGCGGUAA
rnacentral:rRNA from 1 species